CGCACAUUGCGCCCCUUGGUAUUCCAUGGGGCAUGCCUGUUCGAGCGUCAUAUAACCCCUCAAGCUCAGCUUGGUGUUGGGCGUUGUCCUGCAGACUCGCCCCAAAUCUAUUGGCAGCCGGCAAUCGGUGUAGAGCGCAGCACAUUGUUCUCUUGCAGAUGCGCCGUCUUUCCAUGAAGAAGACCAUCAUUUGACCUCGGAUCAGGUAGGGAUACCCGCUGAACUUAA
rnacentral:misc_RNA from 1 species